rnacentral:rRNA from 1 species
GACGAACGUUGGCGGCGUGCUUAACACAUGCAAGUCGAACGGAAAGGCCCUGCUUUUGUGGGGUGCUCGAGUGGCGAACGGGUGAGUAACACGUGAGUAACCUGCCCUUGACUUUGGGAUAACUUCAGGAAACUGGGGCUAAUACCGGAUAGGAGCUCCUGCUGCAUGGUGGGGGUUGGAAAGUUUCGGCGGUUGGGGAUGGACUCGCGGCUUAUCAGCUUGUUGGUGGGGUAGUGGCUUACCAAGGCUUUGACGGGUAGCCGGCCUGAGAGGGUGACCGGCCACAUUGGGACUGAGAUACGGCCCAGACUCCUACGGGAGGCAGCAGUGGGGAAUAUUGCACAAUGGGCGGAAGCCUGAUGCAGCAACGCCGCGUGCGGGAUGACGGCCUUCGGGUUGUAAACCGCUUUCGCCUGUGACGAAGCGUGAGUGACGGUAAUAGGUAAAGAAGCACCGGCUAACUACGUG